GGGAAGCCAAAGAGUUGGAGACUCCGUUUUCUCUGCUCCACCUGCGAGCUAGAAACUUUGGAAAGAAAAUAUUUCUAAGUGUUUAGGACGUGUAAGUUCCUUUCUGUUUACCGAGCGACCAGCUCUGUGACCUGAUGUAUGUUUUGAUGACCAGAAGCUUCGUUUCGUCGAGUUUUUCUUUUGUUGAAUUGUCUCGGUCAAGUUUUUGGGUUGGAUCCGAAUUCCGCGGAAGAUCUGAUGUCUUCAUUUGAUGGCGAGCCACCCGUUCGAGUGAUUCCUGUUGUCAUUCCCUAUGGCAAAAUCUGGUAGGAUUGUGGCCGGCACGUGUCACAUCAUCUGACUAUGACUGACUUGACUUAUUGACUGUUACGCUUAACAAACUGAACUAAGGAUUAACGCCUUGAACUGAACCUACCUGGAAAGAACUCUUUUUCUUUUUUGAAGAACAACUUAAAGGACACAACUUAAAGGAACUCCAUUGAACUGUCUUCUACAUUUAGUUAAAGGACUACUACCCAGCUUUUUCAAAGGACAAUUAUUAUUUUUUUUAUUUUAUUCCUAAAGGGUUAAAUUUUAUUUUGGGUUAUUGUAAAUACUUUUCAAUUCUACUACUAAAAGAAAAAAAACCGUAUAUCCCUGCGUGGUGUCUUUUACUUGCACUGUGUUUAUCUCUCUCUCCAGAGCCUAGAGUCUCAAAUCUUGUAUAUUAAGAAACUGGCCUAUCAUCGACGUGUACAUACCCAGUAGUGGGUUACACCAACAUUUGAGAAACCCUGGUAUGAAGGUAGAAGACACCAUUCAUGAUGUGUAAUACAGAGGGGUUUCUUUGGGCCUGACCAUCAUAUUUAACCCUCUAUGGUACACAUUAUGAUGCCAGUUGGUUUAAAAACAAAGUUGUAAUUUUUUUUUGUCAUAAAAUAAACCAAGUAAACAUAAUUUAAAGAAAUUUUCAAGAAAAAAAUGUUGGAGUACACGUUAGGGUGCGUUACCUUAAAGCAAUAUGGUACGAUAAUUGCCAAAGUCACUCCUGUGCCAGGACCUGGACUUCCCAGGCAGUCUCUUGUCCUAAUACUAACCAGGCCCUUAAGGUGCAUUAGGCAGCGCCAAUCUCCAUUUCUAUAGCCCUCGGCCUCUCACCUAUUACAUAUCUAGGGUUAAAGUCCUCUGGCAACCCCAAGAGUUUGACUCCCUACUCACAUGGUGGUGUAGUGGCUAGCACUGUUGCCUCACAGCAAGAAGGUUCUGGGUUCAAGCCCAGUGGCUGACGGGGCCUUUCUGUGUGGAGUUUGCAUGUUUUCCCCGUGUCUGCAUGGGUUUCCUCCGGGUGCUCCAGUUUCCCUCAGAGUUCAAAGACAUGGGGUUAGGUUAACAUGGCCUGAAGAUUGGGCUGAAGUGCCCUAAGCAAGGCACCUAACCCACAACUACUCCCUGGGCACUGUAGCAUAGCUGCCCACUGCUCUGGGUAUGUGUGUGCUCAUUGCUCACUUGUGUGUUCAUGUGUGUGUUCACUGAUGGGUUUCAGAUGGGUUAAAUGCAGAGGUUAAAUUUCACUGUGUCCUUAAGUCUGUACUUAAGUGUAUGUGUGACAAAUAAAGGCUUCUCUUCUCUCUUCUCA